ACAAGGACAAGGACAACCACUAUUAUUUUACAGAUGGGGAAACGGAAACCUGAAGAGGUCAUGGAGUUGGUGUAGGUCACACCGAUUGUAGACAGCAGAACCAGGUUUUAAACUAGCCCAUUCUCCAAUAUUCUUCCUUAUGAGACUGUAGAAACAAACAACUGUAUUAAUGUGUGAUGUGUCCUAGAGGCUAGGAUGACGCUCCUCCUGGGUGACUAUGAGCUUCUUUGCCUCUCCAUUUCUCCUGCACCCUAAUCAGUUCCUGUCUCCUGCCCUUCAUUCCUUCUUUUCCUGCUAUUUCUCUGCAUGGAUCUCCUCCUCAGCCUCUUGGUGGCUGCUUUCCCUGUCAGCCUUUCUCCCUUUCCCCUCUGUCUGCCUGCCUCUCUUACUCCACCGUGUCUGAAUACUUAUACCAAACUCCUAAAUUAAAAAACAAAAUUGUUCGCAGUUCUCAGAGGAGGGAGGGGCGGGAGAGGAAGUACUCGGGCUCUGGGUUAAAUUCAGGUCUUUGACUGUUGAUCAAUUGCUAAAAAGUUAACAGUGUUUCCUUCCUGUGCAUGUUCACAAUUAUUGUGGUUGCAGUGGUUGUGUAUGUGCAUCCGUGUGUCCUCCUACAUGACAUAUACAAGUGUGGGUGGAAUAUUGCCUUUAUUGGUAAAGACCUGCCAGCUGGUGCCAGGGUGCUCAGACUGCCUACUGCUCUUGAGUCACAUGCUGAAAACUUCAUAAUGAAACCCGAAAAUCACAGAAGCAUAAACACAGCUGCUUUUGCCUAUUAAGUAAGUGGUUUACAAGGGAAAGCAUAAUCAGAAGAAUCUAGUGUUUAGUCAAUUACAUUAACAGCAGACAAAUAGAAAUCAUAUGUAUUUGACAGGAGGCCAUUUUAAGAAACUGUAUAUUUGUAUGCAGCAAACAUAAUGAGACAUCUUAAAAGAAAUGUCAUCCAUUAUUCAUAAACUUGAAUAAAACACAAAGAGUUCUCCAGAAAAACCAGAAAAUUAAAAUUAUGUUAAAAAUGUGAGGGUUUUGAUUUUAGUAGCUCAUUUUAUUUCUUAAAUUGUUUCAGAGGUGCUUUUUCUUUUUAAGUGAUUACAACCAAAGAGAUUUACUAUAUCUUGAAUAUGCUAGAGAUAUUAUUUCAGAAAACCCUGUAUGUUGGGGGAUUUCCAAGGCUGUGAGAAUCACAAUCUCUAUCGUAAUUUGAAUUGGUUGGGAGAGGGCCAUAAAGAAUAGUCAGACCCAGUGGGGUGUGGCAGGUGAUUAAGAAACUUCCCUCCAUGGAUGAUAGAAGGUCAUCAGUGAAGACAGCUGGACCAUCAGGGAAAUCUUGCAGCAGGCAAAGGUCAGAGGUCAAAGCUCAAAAGACCCAUUGUUGCCUCAUUGGUGGAGUUUCAGCCCCCGGGAUCAGAACACAAAAAAAUCACUGAUGAAGUUGAAAAGGAACCAGGAAGACCCCUGUGCUGGGAGGAGGUACAAGGAUCGUGCUAUUGGAAUUGGGGCUCAAGUCAAGGGCGUGGCACAAGAAGUAUUUCCAGCACAUCCAGACAUAAGGCUCCAGGCCAGGAAUUUCACCCAGAGGAGUUGUUUCAGACUAAGAACAACUGUUGAAAAUAGAAUCAUGAUAAAAAAAUCAAGGAAGGCAGGAAAAGGCAGCACCUGUGGCAGGAGAAACGGAUGAGCUCCCGUGCAUCCCAGUCCUCUGCGGCAGGGAGUCACAGUACAUGGCGUCCACCUCAUAGCCCAAGAUGGCUGCUUAAUUUCCAGCUAUGGCUUCUGAAGUCCAGUCAGCAGAAAGGAGGAAGUACAAGAGAUAUCGAGUUUAUGAGAUAUCAAGAGAGUCCUGACACCAAAGGAAUUCAGUACAGUGAAGAAGACGCACAUGCAAAUAUAUAACGUGAAACAAAGCAAUGACUGCAUAGUAGAGCAGUGUGUAAAAUGUUACACGAAUAGAAGAAGACUGGUGGACAAGAAGGGAAACCCACAGCUGAGACCUGCCAGGAUAAGCAGGCUUUUCCCAGGAGAAAAUGGGGAGGGGAGAGUGGAGAAUAAAGGGGUGGAUUGUUGAGGUGGGUGACUGUCAUUCCAGUCAGAAAGCACAGUAAGUGUAAAGGUGUUUCCAAAUAGUGUGGACUUUCCAUAGAAUCUCUGAAACUCAUAAAGUGCCUUUUGAAAUAUUAUCCAGUCACUGAUUUCACUGUAUUGUAGUUCUUUUUUUAAGUCAACAGUGACACUUUGUUGUUUCUUCUGCCCUUAACAUUGUUUUAAAACUCACUUUGAAAUUUAAAAACAAACCAAAAAGUGAGCCUCUAAUCACAUUUCCUAGAAAACAGAGAAGAAAAUAUUAUCUGAAAUGGCUCUUUCAUUGACUUAUCCAUGACUUGUAAUCCAGUUCCACUACCAUGAAUAAGCACCUAUAUGUAUAUGGCAGUAUUUUUCAAACUGACUUUCUUUUUUUUUUUUAAAGAUUGGCUCUGAGCUAACAUCUAUUGCCAAUCUUUUUUUUCUUCUCCC